rnacentral:rRNA from 1 species
UUCUAUGGCCAUGCCGCCCUGAACAAGCCCGAUCCCAUCUGAUCUCGGAAGCUAAGCAGGAUUGGGCCUGGUUAGUACUUGGAUGGGAGACCACCUAGGAAGAUCAUCAGGUGCUGUAAGCA